rnacentral:rRNA from 1 species
AUAUCAAUAAGCGGAGGAAAAGAAACCAACAGGGAUUGCCUUAGUAGCGGCGAGUGAAGCGGCAAUAGCUCAAAUUUGAAAUCUGGCACUUUCAGUGUCCGAGUUGUAAUUUGAAGAAGGUAUCUUUGGGUCUAGCUCUUGUCUAUGUUUCUUGGAACAGAACGUCACAGAGGGUGAGAAUCCCGUGCGAUGAGAUGUCUAGAUCUAUGUAAAGUUCCUUCGAAGAGUCGAGUUGUUUGGGAAUGCAGCUCUAAGUGGGUGGUAAAUUCCAUCUAAAGCUAAAUAUUGGCGAGAGACCGAUAGCGAACAAGUACAGUGAUGGAAAGAUGAAAAGAACUUUGAAAAGAGAGUGAAAAAGUACGUGAAAUUGUUGAAAGGGAAGGGCUUGAGAUCAGACUUGGUAUUUUGUAUGUUACUCUCUCGGGGGUGGCCUCUACAGUUUACCGGGCCAGCAUCAGUUUGAGCGGUAGGAGAAUUGCGUAGGAAUGUGGCUCGGCCUCGGUCGAGUGUUAUAGCCUUCGUCGAUACUGCCAGCUUAGACUGAGGACUGCGGCUUCGGCCUAGGAUGUUGGCAUAAUGAUCU